UACGUAGGGGGCGAGCGUUAUCCGGAUUUACUGGGCGUAAAGCGCGUUAAGGCGGUUGGCAAAGUUGGUUGUGAAAUCUCAGGGCUCAACCCUGAAAUUGCGACCAAUACUGGUCGACUAGAGUGCAAGAGAGGAAGGUGGAAUUCCCGGUGUAGUAGUGAAAUGCGUAGAUAUCAGGAGGAACACCGGUGGCGAAGGCGGGUCUCUGGGCAGUAACUGACGCUGAGGAGCGAAAGCGUGGGGAGCGAACAGG
rnacentral:rRNA from 1 species